rnacentral:tRNA from 3 species
UCUGUUUUAGUAUAUUUAUUAUGUUAGCUUUUCGUGUUAAUGAUAGUUUUUUAUAAAACUAAACAGAA